UACAGAGGGUGCAAGCGUUAAUCGGAAUCACUGGGCUUAAAGGGUGCGUAGGCGGCGGCGCAAGUUGGGUGUGAAAUCCCUCGGCUCAACCGAGGAACUGCGCUCAAAACUGCGUCGCUUGAGGAAGAUAGAGGUGAGUGGAACUUAGGGUGGAGCGGUGAAAUGCGUUGAUAUCCUAAAGGAACACCCAGUGGCGAAAGCGACUCACUGGUCUUCUCUGACGCUGAGGCACGAACGCUAGGUAGCG
rnacentral:rRNA from 1 species